rnacentral:lncRNA from 1 species
UGGGUGUUUGGCGGGGCUUUUAAGCCCCGCUUCUGGACUUUUAAGUUGGAAGCACUUAUUCGUACCGUUUGUGUAAAAAGUCGAGAAGCACUUAAAAAAAGCUACGAUUCCUAGCUUUUGUUUCAUGACUUCUACUUUUUUGCCAAACACUUUAAUCACUUAUAAGUCUUAACUAACUUCUAACUUCUACUUCACUUUUUUAUUUUAAGCAAGAAGCACUUAUUUUAAGCUCAGCCAAACGGCCCCU